rnacentral:rRNA from 1 species
GGUUUAAUUCGAUGAUACGCGAGGAACCUUACCCGGGCUUGAAUUGCAGAGGAAGGAUUUGGAGACAAUGACGCCCUUCGGGGUCGUCUGUGAAGGUGCUGCAUGGUUGUCGUCAGCUCGUGCCGUGAGGUGUCGGCUUAAGUGCCAUAACGAGCGCAACCCCUCUCCUUAGUUGCCAUCAGGUUAAGCUGGGCACUCUGGGGACACUGCCACCGUAAGGUGUGA